rnacentral:rRNA from 1 species
UACGAAGGGGGCUAGCGUUGUUCGGAAUUACUGGGCGUAAAGCGCACGUAGGCGGAUAUUUAAGUCAGGGGUGAAAUCCCAGAGCUCAACUCUGGAACUGCCUUUGAUACUGGGUAUCUUGAGUAUGGAAGAGGUGAGUGGAAUUCCGAGUGUAGAGGUGAAAUUCGUAGAUAUUCGGAGGAACACCAGUGGCGAAGGCGGCUCACUGGCCCGAUACUGACGCUGAGGCACGAAAGCGUGGGGAGCAAACAGG